rnacentral:rRNA from 1 species
GACGAACGCUGGCGGCGUGCUUAACACAUGCAAGUCGAACGGAAAGGCCCUGCUUUUGUGGGGUGCUCGAGUGGCGAACGGGUGAGUAACACGUGAGUAACCUGCCCUUGACUUUGGGAUAACUUCAGGAAACUGGGGCUAAUACCGGAUAGGAGCUCCUGCUGCAUGGUGGGGGUUGGAAAGUUUCGGCGGUUGGGGAUGGACUCGCGGCUUAUCAGCUUGUUGGUGGGGUAGUGGCUUACCAAGGCUUUGACGGGUAGCCGGCCUGAGAGGGUGACCGGCCACAUUGGGACUGAGAUACGGCCCAGACUCCUACGGGAGGCAGCAGUGGGGAAUAUUGCACAAUGGGCGGAAGCCUGAUGCAGCAACGCCGCGUGCGGGAUGACGGCCUUCGGGCUGUAAACCGCUUUCGCCUGUGACGAAACGUGAGUGACGGUAAUGGGUAAAGAAGCACCGGCUAACUACGUG